rnacentral:rRNA from 1 species
UUGGCCUCAAAUCGGGUGAGACUACCCGCUGAACUUAAGCAUAUCAUAGGCGGGAGGAA